rnacentral:rRNA from 1 species
GAUGAACGCUAGCGGCAGGCCUAAUACAUGCAAGUCGAGGGGCAGCGGGAGUAGCAAUACUUGCCGGCGACCGGCGCACGGGUGCGUAACACGUAUGUAAUCUACCCUUUACUGGAGAAUAGCCCGAAGAAAUUCGGAUUAAUGCUCCAUAAUAUCACUGGAAGGCAUCUUUUGGUGAUUAAAGUUCCGAUGGUAAAGGAUGAGCAUGCGCGAUAUUAGCUAGUUGGUGAGGUAACGGCUCACCAAGGCGACGAUAUCUAGGGGUACUGAGAGGUUACACCCCCACACUGGUACUGAGACACGGACCAGACUCCUACGGGAGGCAGCAGUAAGGAAUAUUGGACAAUGGUCGCAAGACUGAUCCAGCCAUGCCGCGUGCAGGAUGAAUGCCCUAUGGGUUGUAAACUGCUUUUAUACGGGAAUAAACCCGGGUACGUGUACCCGGCUGAAUGUACCGUAAGAAUAAGGGUCGGCUAACUUCGUGCCAGCCGCCGCGGUAAUAC